CCAGUCAACUUUGGUUAUGCUAUUGGAUGGUUCAUGGGCUCGCGUUGCUGGAUGAAACUCUUGACGAAGACCUCGAGAACGAUAUUGUAGACUUAUUGUCUUGAUGCCGGGACAAACAUGGUGGAUAUGGUGGUGGACCUGGGCAGUUUUGCUCUAACCUCAAACUCUUCUUAAUUCCCCACAUUUAGCUUCGAGAACGGCGUCGCCGGGGAGGACGGGAGCGGCUCGACCAAUGGCCACCGCAAUGCUCUUCUGCCCGCUGCUUGCCUCGCCACCCGGGCGCAAAAUAGACCUGACAAGACGUCUGUAUGUACUGCAGUU